AUUGGGGGGUAAGGCAGAAAAUACUUUACCUAACUCGUUUAAAAUAAAAAAAUAUAUACACGAGGUUUACGUGCAGAAGUGUUUAAGCAGUUUAAGCAUCUUCUUAGCCGUUAGUGGUAUCAGGUUUGCCAUGCAUCUGGUUUGUUGUUUACAGUAUCUCCCAGAAUAAUCCAGUUUUCUGUGACAUGUGUUGAUUCAGAGUCGCGCCCAAAACCGAUACCCCUGAGGGCUCCAAUGAGUCAUCUAUUCAAAAGGGGGGAGGGGGGAACGACAAAGUCUAAUGCAAAGACGUGUUGAAGUCUGGAAAGGGAAAUAAAAUCAAGAAAGAAAAUACAAAUGAAGGAUGAGUGUUUUUUUUUCCACAGGUAGUAGCAAUAAGUUACUACCCGUGGAAAAAUAACGUAGAUAACCCUUGGACCUCUGAUUCUGAAAACUCUGACGUGCUCUAAUUGUUGGUGAUUGAUUACUGCGAUUAAUCAAUAACUACAGAAUUCUUACAUGGUGCAAUUUGUGGUGCGGAGGAAGGUCAGCUUGAUCAUCUUUGUUCUUAUGGUCCAGCAAAUAGUUCGGGCAUAAGAAAGCCACGGCUUCUGAUUACUAACAUGAUUGAUCAGACAGAAGACGAGUCGAGUUUAUUGUCAUGCGUACAAAUUCAGUGAGGUACAAGGAAAAACAUGCAGCGGCAUCACAGGCAGGCAGUGAGGGCCGUGACUUAGAGCGAGAAGCAGCACUCUCAGUGCGAGAAGUGGGAGCCAUAUAAGGAGACGUUCCGCUAGCAAUAAUCAUGGGAGGUUAUUCUACAAGGCCCAGUGCUCAGUGUCCACUGUGGGAAUGCUUCUCACCACCAGUUAAGCAAGGUCUUGGAACUCUUCUGAAGUUCUGGUGAUGAGGCUGUCUGCUCAGGAAACCACUGAGAGGAUCUUCCAUUUCCUUUUCCAGAAGCUCGCAAGGACAUUCUGUGCAGACUACUGCUGAUUGAUUUCUGGUCAAAGAUUUUCUUGUGCACAAAUUUUCUAUGAAGGAUAGGAAGUAUGGCAGUGUUCAACUAAAUGGAACAUAACUUGCCAAGAAAGGUGAGGCCCAACAUGACACUGGGGACAGAAAGAAUCUCUGUAUGUGGUGGCAUUUGGUGAUCCUCCAUUUUAACCCCAACCUUCCCAACCCUAGAGAUCAUCAGGCAUAUGUAAACUCUUAUGUAAAGCGAUACAAAUUGAGUUAGCUCAGCUCUGUGCUGAGUGUUUCAUGUUGACAUAAAUACAAAGCAUCAGUGUCUUGUCAUACUAUAAUGCUUUUUUAAUAUACAGCUGAAGGUAUAAUCACCAGUAGUGGCUAAAUCAAACUCGUGAGAAGCAAUCAACCAAAAAUGAAGGGUGGUCAAGUUAUAGAGAUUUGGGGUGAUGGAGGAGGUUACAAAAAUUGUGAAGGAUUAGACCAUGAGGAUUUUGAAUUUUAAAGCUGCAGCAUUGUUUGACUGACAGCCAUUUUAGAGUGGCAGUCACUGAGACAAUGGGAAAAUAGAUAUUGGCACAAGUACAGGCAUUCAAAAUAUGGGAUAUUAAUGUGCAAAAGACCCUAUGGAGGUAGUGAAUCCCUCAUCCCCUACCGUGCAUAUCUUUCUGGCUUCAUUCCUGCACACAGAAGUUGGACUCAUUUACUUAUUUAUCUUUCUCAGUGAUGUAUGUUCAUGACCAGUAUUUUUAAAUAUACUUUAAUAUUGACAUGUAUGGCAAGAAGUGAUGUUUAGGUAACUCCAUUCUCUGCACCUUAAAACCUGUUUAUCUCUAUUUUUUCCAUUUUGAUGAAGUUAUUGAUUUAUCUUUCCAUGAGUUUUUAACUGACCUUCUGAUCCUUUCCAGUACUCUGCAACAUUUGCAUUUGUGCUAAAUGUCCUCGUUGCUUGUUGCAUCCAGCUUGGCACUGAGAGCCUGAUCAUUGAUGCAGACGGACCAGUUCUGUCAGUCUUUCGGUUUCAUCAGUUUCCAACCUCAUUGCUAAAUUGUUAUUUAUUGGCUUCUCUGAAGCAGCACACCCAAGAGUGAGUCAUUACCAAACAAGAGAGAAGCAAACAAUAAAACACCAAGGGAAACUCAAAUCACAGACUUAUUCUCAACUGCCUGAGAACUGGAGAAUGGGAUUAGAACACAGAGGAGGUCACAGUGACUCAACAUAAAUUUGGGUCUCCUGUUUUGUUUUUAAGAUGGGAGAACCAGUUUGAAAAUGAACUCACAGAACAAGGGUCCAUAAUUCCACGACAUGAACUGUAUGCAUGAAAAUGAUGCCUGCCUUUCACACUUCCCUGAUCCAGUCUGUGGAAGUGUCCAGUUUAAGAGUUUCCUGAGAAAGCUAUUCCAGAGUACAAUGGUUUUAUGAUCAGAUGGCGAUAGGAUUUCAUUUCCAUCCUUUAUACUUCAGAGAUUUUCACUGAUAUAUUAACUCAGCAAUUAACCCAGUGAUUUGCUGCUAUAAUAAUUAAUAAAAUCCCUACCAAAUGUCUCCUUAAAUUGUGGACUCUAAGCUGAAGUACAAUGGGAACAGGUUAGCUCUCUUAACCUGACGGCAUGAACAUCAAAUUCUCUAACUUCCAGUAACCACUCCCCUCUGUCCCUUCCCCUUUUUUUCUCCCCUUCCUGAUCCAACUGGCCCCCAUCACCCUCCUUCCCCUCUCCAUCCACCCAUCACUGACACUCCUCCCACUGGUUCCCCUCCCCACCUCCUUCCCUUUAUUCCAUGCUCCACUGUCCUCUCAGAUGUCAUCUUCAGCCUUUUGUCACUCCCACCCAUCACCUCCCAGCUUCUUACAUCAUUCCCACUUUCCCCUCCCCCAUCUGCCUAUCACCCCCCCCCCCCAUCAUCGGAUCUACCUAUCACCCACCAGCUCUUGCUCCAACCCCUCCCCCCACCCUUUUAUACUGGCUAUCUCCCUCUUUCUUUCCAGUCCUGAUGAAGGAUCUUGACCUGAAGUGUCCAUAAAUGUUGCCUGACCCACUGAGUUCCUCCAGCUCCUUUGUGUGUUGUUCUAGAUUUCAAGCAUCUGCAGUCCCUCGUGUCUCCAGGUUAGUUCUGGAUUCUUAACAACAUGUCUGUUAUUGAAACAUGAGCCCUUAAACCUAUCUUUUUCAGACUAUUUCUUUUUCUCUCUCUCAACUUGCACUAAUGUUAUGUUUAUUUUGUUCAUUUAAUUGUGUAAGUUAUGAAUAAUUUAUGUGAGUUUAAGUUUCUAUUAACGUGUUGUGGUCGUAAUGUGCUGUGCUGCUGCUGCAAAAAUACUAACUUUCAUGGCAUUUAUACCCUGUGUAAUGCAUGCCCAUGAUAUUAAACUUUAACUUGAAGACUCCACAUCCAUCCUGUAAUGGGGUGACCACAACCCAUCCUUUAAUUUCCUGCCCACACAUCUCUAUUCUCAGUGUCAGAUUUUAAUUUGCGUGGAGCACUGAACUAAAAUUUUGCACUUGAAACAAUUCAGCCGAUCCAGGCCAUAUCUUGUUCUCCCCACAUGGGGUUUCCAACAGAAGUAAAUGGAUCAGUUGAAGGAUGAUUGGAGAAGGAAUGAGAGAAUGUUCUAAUAAAGAACCUUCUAUAACCUCAGAAUGUCACAAAGCACUUCACAAUUUUGAAGUACAGUCACUGAUAUGGGGGUAAAAAAAAGGACAGGCAAUUUGCAUGCAUCAAGCUCCUUAUGUAUAGCACCAUAGAAGGAGGCCAUUUGUCCAUUGGGUCUGCACCAUUAAUCCCAUUCCCCUCUCCUUAUUCUCUAUAUCCCUGCAAUUUAUGUCUCUCAUAUGCCAUCAACUCCCCUUUGAUUAAUUUUGCCAUGAAUUUAUACUAAACAGAAUUUACAGUAGUCAAUUAAUCUACAAGUGCAUCUUUGAGAUGUGGGAGGAAACCACCAAACUCAGGAAACCCACUUACUGCGCUCAGGUUGGCAUUGAGCCUGAUCAUCGAUACAGAUGGAGGCAAGGAAGGGUCUUCAACUUGAAACAUUAACUCUUUAUCUUUCCAAGAUGCUUCCUGACUUGCUGAGUUUUUCCAGCAUUUUCUGUUUCUAUUAUAGGACUCCAACAUCACCUCAGCUAAGAUCAGGACCUCAUUAGGCAAUGCCUCUGGUCCAAAUAGGUAAAAUUUGAUUAGCACAGCACCUGAAAAGAUGGGCCAGUUUUGUUCAAGGCACCAUGCCAUUCAAGUCUUGCAGACCAUCUAUGCCAAAGGACUCCAUUUUCUCUGACCAUUGCAGAGAAAAUCAGCUGGACUGUGUACUUCAAGUGUGGAGGAUUUUAGGGGAUUGGUGAUGGAGAGGAUGAGGAAUUCUCUGGAUCAUAUCACAUUUAACGAGAUUAAUACGUGGCCAUACCUUUAGCUGCCACUAAACUCUGGAAUUCCCUGCUAAAUCUUUAAGUUACUCCUUAAAAUCUAUCUCUAUGACCAGACUUUUGGUCAUCUGCCCUAAUAUUUUGUAUGAGUCAGUGUUAGAUUUUGUUCCAGUGACUUUUUAUUAUCAUUAUAAAGGCAUGAUGUAAGUUACCUUUAUUGAGAUGGUAAAGAACUCUUUCUGAUGGGAGAAGUAAAUACCUGUGGAAUUGCAUGCAUAAAUAUCCAUGGGCAGGGCAUGUCUUGCAAACUUGACUGAGUUUUUUAGGGAGGUGACCAAGGUGAUUGAGGGUAGGUCAGUCUAUGUGGACUUUAGGAAGGUAUUUAACAAGGCUCGUCAUGGUACGUUGAUCAGGAAAAUUAAGAUGUAUAGGAUCCAUGGUGAAAUUGGUAGUUUGGAUUCCGAAUUAGCCUGCUCAUAGAAGAGAGGGUACUGGUGGAAGAGUGUUACUCUGGCUGGAGGUCAGUGACCAGUGGUGUUCCACAAGGAUCGGUGCUGGGGCCUCUGUUGUUCGUGAUAUAUAUGACUUAGAUGAAUUUUUUAUAUAUAUAAUGACUUAGAUGAAAAUGUAGAUGGGUUGGGUAGUAAGUUUUCAGACAACACAAGAAUUGGUGGAGUUGUGGACAGUGAAGAAGGUCAUCAAAGGAUACAGCAGAAUAUAGAUCAGUUACAGGUAUGGACAGAGAAAUGGCAGAUAGAGUUUAGUCUGGAUAAGUGUGAGGUGUUGCACUUUGGGAGGUCAAAUGUAAGGAGAAAAUAUACAAUUAAUGGCAGAAUUCUUAACAGCAUUGAUGUACAGCCAGAUCUUGUGGUCCAAGUCCAUGACUCCCUGAAAGUAGCGGCGCAAGUAGAUUGUGGUAAAGAAAGCUGUCUGUAAGGAGUUUGUACGUUCUCCCGUGUCUGCGUGGGUUUCCUCCGGGUGCUCCGGUUUCCUCCCACAUUUGAAAGACGUACGAGUAGGUUAAUUUGUGGGUUUAAAAAAUGGGCGGCACAGACUCGUUGGGCCGAAAGGGCCUGUUGCCACGCUGUAAAUAAAAAUUUAAAAAAAAAAUUUUAGAACUUAAAGGUGUAUGGCAAGCUUGCCUUCAUUGCUAGGGACGUAGAGUAUUAGAGUAAGGAAGUCAUGAUGCAGUUGUAUAAAACUUUGGUUAGGCCUCACUUGGAGUAUUGCAUGCAGUUGUGGUCACCCCAUUACAGGAAAGAUGUGGAGUCUUCAAGUUAAAGUUUAAUGUCAUAGGCGUGCAUUACACAGGGUAUAAAUGCCAUGAAAAUUAGUAUUUUUGCAGCAGCAGCACGGUACAUUACGAACACAACAAACAUAAGUUAACAGACACUUAAACUUACAUGAAUCAUUCAUAACUUACACAAUUAAAUAAACAUAACAUUAGUGCAAGUUAAGAGAGAGAAGAAGAAAUAGUCAGAAAAAGAAAUGUAUUCUUCUUUGGAGAGGGUGCAGAAGAAGUUUACCAGGAUACUGCCUGGAUUAGAGGGUAUGAGAUAAUAAGGAGAAGUCAGACAAAUUUGUCUUGUUUUCUCUGGAGCUUUGGAGGCUGAGGGGAGACCAGAUCAAAGUUCAUAAAAUUGAGUGGCACAGAUAGGAUAGCCAGAAUCUUUUCCCCAGGGUAGAAACUAAAGGACAUAGCUUUAAGGUGAGGAGGGGAAAGUUCAAAGGGGAUGUGAGGGGCAAGUUUUCUUUACACAGAGUGAUAGGUGCCUGGAACACACUGCCAGGGUGGUAGUGGAAGAAGGUAUCACUAGUGGCAUUCAAGUGGGUUUUAGAUAGUCACAUGAAUACAGUAUGCUGGAAAUGGAGGAUAUGGAUCAUGUGCAGGCAGAAGGGAUUAGUUUAAUUUCCUGCUUUCUCCGUCUGGUUCCCCACCUUCUUCCCUUUAUUCCAUGGUCCACUUUCCUCUCCUAUCCUCCUCCACCUAUCACCUCCCAGCUUCUCACAUCAUUCCCACUUCCCCCUUCCCCCACCUACCUAUCUUUCCCCUCUCACCAGUAUUGACCUAUCACCCACCAGCUUGUGCCCCUCUUUCCUCCACCCCCCCCCCCCACACUUUUAUUCUGGCUUCUGCCUUCUUCCUUUCCAGUCCUGAUGAAGCGUCUCAGCCCAAAAUGUCGACUGUUCAUUUCCCUCCAUAGAUGCUGCCUGACCUGCUGAGUUCCUCCAGCAUUUCAUAUGUGAUGCUUGUAUAUUCAGUUCUGUUCAUUAGCCUGUCAACAGGUUGCAUACAGAAUAGAAAUAGUUAACACCCUGUUAAACACUGCACACUGCACUAUCCCUUCUUGGCUGCUCAUGUUUGCAAAUAUUACAGACGGAUUACAGAAUGCCUACGGCAUGGAAAGAGGCCAAUCGACACCAGAUCUGUAAGAGCAAUCCAGCUAGUCCCACUAUCUCACCCCUCCUCACAGGUCUGUAAAUUCUGAUACUUACCUAGAUUCCCUUUGAAUGGGAAUACUUUUCCUAACCCUUGUUUAGGUUUUUCCAGUCACCUUCACUCUUUGACCCCUAGUUCAAUCCUUCAGCCAAUGUGAACAAUUUCCAUCCCCCUUUAUGGUUUUAACUACCUUUAUCAUACCUUGCAAUCUCCUAUGCUCACAGGAAAACAACCCUACUUGUCUAGUCUGUCCAUAUAACUAAAGUCCCUCAUCCCUGGAAUCAUUUUGCUAAACCAUUGUACACCUUCUUCAAAGCCUUCAGAUCCUUCAUAAAUUCCAGUGAUCAGAAUUGGAAACAAUAUUCCAGGUGUGGCCAGACAAGUGUUUUAUAAAACCCCCUCAUUGUUCUUGUACUCUAAGCUUCUAUUUAUAAAGCCUAGAAUCACAUAUGCUAUUCUAACCACUUUCUCAGUCUGCCCUGCCAUGUUCAACAAGCUAUGCACCCAGGUUCUCUGUUCUUGUACCCUUAUAGAAGUGCUUGCUGGUUUAUAUAGCAUUGCCUCUUUCUCCAUAAACAUAAUAGUCUACCCUUCUCAGCACCAAAUUUCAUCUGCCUUCAAUCCACUCUUCAAUCAGUCUGCCUAUAACUCUAUAAAGUUAAUUACUGUCCUCCUCACAGUUCACUACCUUUUAGCAUCAUCUGCAAAUCUGAAAACUGCACUCUGUGCAUCCAAGUGCAAGCCAUUGGCAUACCUUAAGAAAAGGAGUGGUCCUGGAAACAACCCCUGGGAAACUCUACCGCAGACUAAUCCUCAGUUUACAGAACAACCUGCUGUUUCCUAUUACUUACCCAUUUUUCUAUCUAUGCUGCUAGAGCCAAGUUUAUUGUGUGAACUCCAAUCUUGAUGACAAGCCUAUUAAAUGGCACACUAUCAAACACUUUUUGGAGGACUAUUUAUACCACAACAACCACAUUCCCUUCAACAACCAUCUCUGUUGCUUCAUCAAAAAAAACACUUUAAAAAUUGGUUAGACACACUUUGCCUUGCUGGAUUUCUCUAUUCAAUGCCCAUGUGCAAGUGAUGUUGGUUCUGUCCCUGAUUAUUCUUUCUGGAACUUUUCUCACAACUGAGGUUAAACUGAUGGGUCUGUUGUUAUUGGGCUUAUUCCUACACCCUUUCUUGAACAAAAGUGUAACAUUUGCAAUUUUCCAGUCCUCGGGCAUUAACCCUGAAUCUAUUGAUGUUUGGAAGAUUAUGGCCAGAUCCUCUGUAAUUUCCUCCUUUAUGACCCAAACAAACAUGGAGGCAUCCCAUCUGGACCAGGUAAUUUAUCUACUUUAAAUACAGCUAACCUUUCAAGUGCUUCCACUUUGUUCAUUUUAGCCCAUUCAGAAUAUUAACUACAUCUUCUCUUACUGAAUAACAGUAUCUUCUUUCUUGGCAAAGACUGAAGUAAAGCAUUCAUUUAGUACCCCACCCAUGCCAUAUGCCCCAUGAUAAGAUUUUUUCAUAUUUCCUUGCAACAUAGGCAUAGUAGGCUAUGGACCAAAUUGUGGUAAGGGAUUAGGAUAGAUAGCUAUUUGGUGGCCAGCCUAGACGAGUUGGACUGAAGGGUCUGUUUCUGUGUUGUGUGACUCUAUUGGCCAAAAGUCUCCUUUUAGAGUCUUUCAGCUUUCAAAGUAUUCCCAUCAAUGCUAUUGCUACACUUCCUCUCAUGCAUCCCACCUCUCUUUCUGUUCACAUGCCUAAAGAAUAUUUUUGGUUUUCAUUCUAAGUUUGACACCAAUUUCUCUCAUUUCCAUAUUUGUCUUUUUUUAACUCUCCCUGUGAAUUUUCUGUAAUCAGCUCAAUUCCCACUUGUGUUACCAAUCUGGCAUCUGUUAUAUGUUCUUUUUCAGCAUCUCCUACCCUCUCCUUGAUCAUGCAGGAAACCCUGACUUUAAUUCCUGACCUUCUUCCCAAUAGGAAUGUAGCUAGACUGUAACUGUAAUGUAACCCCUGCAAAUCCUGCAAAUUCAAAGAGAAACUAAUUCUUACAAAGUAUAACAUUUGUCAAAUCCACCCCUGCACGUGGAAAUAAUAUCCUUGCCAUCCCUACCCUUGCACAAGGAAAUAAUGUGCCGAAUAAAAACAGAAAAUGCUGGAAAAAUUCAGCAGGUCAGGCAGCAUCUGUGGAAAGAGAAACAGUUAAUGUUUCGGGUCAAAGUAGGCUGUUAACUGAUAAUGAAGAAUCAUCUAGUUAGGUGAUGAGACUGACCAAAUUAAAAUUCCCACUGGAAAGUUUUACAUCAUCAACAUGGACAAAUCAGGGGGCCAAUGUUAGGAGUAUGGUGGUUGGUUUUGAGGACAGAAGUUUGUGAUGAAAUCUACAGGAAUGUAUCCAAGCUGAGUUGGCAACCCAAGGGACACAACGGCAUUAAAAAAUCAGCCAUAACAUCCACAGUGAAAGAAGAGAAAGCUGUACUCCACUGUACAAAGAAGACCAAAUCUCUCAUGGCAUGUUUUUGUUUUGUUCAUCUAGAUUUUAACAUGCACUGAAAUGCACUGUCAUGCACAAGAAGCCCCAAUAAAUGUAGGACAAGUUUUUGCUUGCCUAAAUCAAUGCACAUUCUCUUCCCUUGGCAACACAGCUAAAAUUAAGUCAGCAGUGAAAAUCAAAUCUGUUCUUUCCCACAAUCUUGCUAUCUCCUUGCCUUUUGACACAAUUUCAGUUCACUAUCUUACCAUUGACACUAAACAUGUGGGUCUUCUACAUUUGCAAGCAUCAACAUGUAUAAAGGAAGAACUUCAAAUCUUCCCCAUCACUGUUCCAUUGCAGAUCCAGGGGUGGCAAUGACUGCUCCUUCAGUUCCUCCUUUCACAUUGCCAAGGACCCAAACACUUAUUGCAGCUGAAAUGGCAGGUGCCUUCACUGUUCAUGAAGUGGUCUCAUCUAUGUUAAGGAGAUCAAUUACGUUUCAAGCCAUAUCUAUUGUAUUAAAAAUCCAACCCUGUAUUCCCUAUUAUAUGCCACUUUACUUCCCCAUUCCACUCCCACUCUGAUCUCUGUCUUUAGCCUCCUAUAUUGCUAGGAGUUAUGCUUAAUACAAGCUUGAGAAGUACCUAAUCCUUUUAUUGGGCAUUUUAUGAGCCUCUACCCUUAACAUUGAAUAUCUAGAUUUUGACCAAGGCACUCAUUUUCUUGUGCGCUAAUUGAGAAUGGCUGUAUCUGUGGUACUGCCAGACUGCCUGUCAAAGUACAUUAUGUGCAUACCAGGAAUUGGUAUUUGAUCCUUGAGGUAUUGAAUUUAAGAGCUGAAAGGUAAUGUUGCAGCUCUAUAAAACUCUGGUUAGACCACACUUAGAGUAUUGUGUUCUGUUCUGGUCACCCCAUUAUAGGAAGGAUGUAGAAGCUUUAGAGAGGGUGCAGAGGUGACUUACCAGGAUGCUGCCUGGAUUGGAGAGCAUGUCUUAUGAGGAUAGGUUGAGUGAGCUAGGGCUUUUCUCUUUGGAGAGAAGGAGGAUGAGAGGUGACUUGAUGGAGGUGUACAAGAUGACAAGAGGCUUAGACUGAGUGGACAGUCAGAGACUUUUUCUCAGGGCGAAAAUGGCUCACACGAGGGGGCAUAAUUUUAAGGUGAUUGGAGGAAGGUAUCGGUGGGGGGGGAUGUUUGAGGUAAUUAUUUUACACAGAGAGUGGUGGGUGCAUCUGGACCACUUAUAAAUAUGCAAAAGUGUUGCUGUCUUUAUUCUUCUCCUACAGGCAUUGAUUCCUUGAUGCGUUUUGAUAACCCUCACCUUGUAGUACCAUGUCCUACUGAUAUUUCUACAAAAAUCAUAGGAUUGAAACCAGGAACUGAGAUUUGAUUUCUCUUUUGAGUAUUGGCACAGUUGAACAACCCAUAAUCUUGCGCCAGCUGAGAUGAUCUAACUCAGAAGAGACAGGGAUCCAAACCUGAGACCUCCCUGCUUGUGUACCUCUGUUAUUUGUGCGAUCAUCUUGCUGAGUUGCCGGGGAAGCCUGUUCCAAUUAAAUGGGCAGUCCUGAUGCAAGGUAUCGACCCAAAACAUCAACCAUCCCUUUGUCUCCACAGAUGCUGCUUGACCUGCUGAGUUCUUCCUGCAGUUUGAUUUUUUCUUUUGCUUCAGAUUUCAGCAUCUGCAGUCUCUUGUGUCUCCAUGUUUCAAUAAUUCCAGUGUGAAGUUGUUUAAAAAAUGGAUGUGGAGGCAAGAUGGGCAUGAAGUUGACAUGACGCCUUCACAAUGGAACAGCUUGCUGUUAUUUAUUAGUCGUUCCCUCUCCCUCCCCCCCAUCCCCUCAUGUUAUGGCAUGAGAAUGCGCUCUUUGGAAAGAUAAUGGUGGCUGACAGUUACACACAGAACUGUGGUCCAAAAUUAGCAUCUUUAGGAGUGCACCAGCUCAGAGCUAAAAUACAGACUGUAACUGCUAGUUUGAUAUGUGACUGUUGUUCCUUGGUUGACAGGUAUCAUUCUUGUCUCCAAAUCAGAAUUGCCUCAAACUUCACUCAAGACUGAGCAUUUAAUAUCAAUUGGGACUUUGGUACAAGUAUUGUUUGAGGGAGCACUGCAAUCAAAAGUACAUUCAAAACUGUCCACACCCUCUCUCUAUUUCAAAGACCCCAAGGCAGUAAGCAAAGAAAAACAGGACGUUUUCCCCCAGUGUUAAUCAGCCUAUUGUGGCUGCACUUGCACUCUGAAAAAGUUACUCAAUUCCACCCACUCCCUGCUCUUUCCCAAAUGCAGCAAAAUGUUUUCCUCUUCAAUUACUUAUCCAAUAUGGAGAAAGAAAUUAUUCUCAUUCUAUUAACAGCCCUGUUUAUGAUUCGAAAGCACUUUACGGAAAACAAAAUGGAGAUAUAACAAAGUACUUCUUUGUGUUGUGGUUACCAUUGCAAUCAAUAAAAGAGAAAGGGAAAUCAGAAAGCAGAAGGAGAGGCGGUUUACUGAAAUUUGGAAGCUUGAAGCAGAUUUUAGGCAGUGAAUUCUAAUUAUUACAUAGCAGAAAUUAAUUUUUCCUCAUUGUUCUGGUUCUUUUGUUAACACCUUUAAUCAGUACUCUGUUAAUGACUUGCUUGUCUCUCAGUAAUUAAUCAGAAACAUUCAGGAUUUUGAACAGCCCUAUCAAACCUCUGCUUAACCUUCCUUCAUCCAGGGAAAAAGUCAGUCGAGUGUAUUGUCAUAUGCACAAGUACAUGUAUGCACAGGUGCAAAGAAAAACAAGCUGCUCCUUCAAGUCCUUCAUGUAACCGAUCAUUUUAAGUCUCACCUGCACUCCUCCUUCAAAGGUGGCAAUGGUGGUGACACAGCAAAAAUAGUCCAUGAAGCACUUUAGGAUCAGUGGACGUCAUAAAAGUAGCUAUUACUAAAAUGGCCAUUUUUCUUUCUGUAUGGGCAGUUUGAUCUUUAUGGAGAAUAAAAUUAUCAGGACUUUCACUAAAACAAGUUCAGAAAAUCUGGUAUGCUUUAAGAGAUAUUGUGUAAUUUAAUCAUGCAAGCAUGUAGAAUAUUUAGCUUGAUUGUGAAACAAACCUGAACAAUGCCUAGCAUCGCCAUAUUUAGAAGCAAUAGGCUUUGAACAGAUUGAGAAAGCAUUCACAUAGCAAUCAGAAUAGGUAAUUAUGACUGCUAUGCAGUUGUCCUGUAAUUUACUAUCGCAGGAAAGAAUAUAGGAUAGUGUAAAGACACUUGUGGUAGUGCCCUUUGUCACUGAAUCCGGGGAAGUAUCAACAGUGGAUGAAUUUGUUAAGAUGUGGAAGGGAGUCUUCAAAAUGCAUUGAAGAUUUCUUCAGUCUUUCCAAAUUUGGG